AACGAACGCUGGCGGCGUGCCUAACACAUGCAAGUCGAGCGGGAAAGUUCCCUUCGGGGAGCGAGUACAGCGGCGCACGGGUGAGUAACACGUAGGUAACCUACCCUGGAGUCUGGGAUAACCUGCCGAAAGGCGGGCUAAUACCGGAUAAGACCACGAGGGCUGCGGCCCUUGGGGAAAAAGAUGGCCUCUGCUUGCACGCUAUCACUCUGGGAUGGGCCUGCGCGCCAUUAGCUAGUUGGUGAGGUAACGGCUCACCAAGGCGACGAUCCGUAGCUGGUCUGAGAGGACGAUCAGCCACACUGGGACUGAGACACGGCCCAGACACCUACGGGAGGCAG
rnacentral:rRNA from 1 species